AGUCCAUCACUCACUCACAGCCUGCCAGAGACAGAGAGAUGGAGCAAGAGAGUGAGGAAGGGAAGGGGGGGGGGGGGGGGGGGGGUGGAGGUGAGGAGAGAGAAUGAGGAAAGAGGUGGCGGACUGGGGCACUGUCACAGUGUUGCAACCACAUGAUUGAGGGGUAGCUGUAUAUGAGGAAGGGGGAGAAAGGUGCAUUAAUGCAUAUUCCAUUCAUCUUUUCUCCAGCAAAAUUUCUCAUUCCUCAGUGAUGUGGGCAAAUCAGAUACCAGCCGGAAUCAGAUGGAAACCAAUGGAAGAUUUCGGAGCGAGAUCAAAGUUGUGGCUGCGGUUUAGAUAAGUCGAGCCGGCACCCAGACACAGUUCAUCUGUCUUAAAUGACUGCUCAUUUCUCUUGUCAGAUACAGGGGAGGCUAUAUAUAGCUGUGAUUAAGAUGUCUGCAGCAACUCUUAGUCUUCAGUCAAUAGGAGGCUUCCAAGGCCUCUGUUGAUCCUCACGCUGCCCAGAAGAGGAGUUUGUUCAGGUCUGAUUUAAAAAGACAGAGGAGGAGUGGGCUCGUCCGGCGUGAGACGCACACAGGCGUCUGCUCAGCUCCUGUGUUAUGACUCGUCGCUCCGCUCCCGCUCAUUUCCUGCCUGGACCUACACCAGCAGAAGGUGAUGAAUGAAGGCCAGGCGGCUCCACGGAGAUGCUGCAAAUGCGGGCAAACGCGUCCAGCGCUCGCCGCCGCCGCCGCGGAGGCCCGCGGAGGCUUCUCGCGGUCUCCGAGGCCCCUUCGAAGGUUUAACAGCGCACAAAUGGGACUCGUUCGCAGCGCGCCGGCAUGGAGACGCCGCCGCCGCAUGAUGUCACUGGCAAACACUCAACGUGGGGGAACACACGGCCAAACAGCGAAACAAUUUGUUUAAUCAUGAAGUGCAUUUACAUAAGGCAACGGCUGCAUAAAUGAAUGCAUAAUUGAACAGGUUAAUGCAUAAUGUAGUGCUCCCCCGGGACAAUAAAUAAAGUGCCUUUUGAAAACGUGUGAGACA
rnacentral:lncRNA from 1 species